GACAGGAGGUCGUAUGAGGGACAGACAGGGUGAGACGUUGUAUGAGGGACAGAAAGGGUGAGACGUUGUAUGAGGGACAGAAAGGGUGAGACAUUGUAUGAGGGACAGAAAGGGUGAGACAUUGUAUGAGGGACAGACAGGGUGAGCCGUUGUAUGAGGGACAGAAAGGGUGAGACAUUGUAUGAGGGACAGACAGGGUGAGCCGUUGUAUGAGGGACAGAAAGGGUGAGACGUUGUAUGAGGGACAGACAGGGUGAGACAUUGUAUGAGGGACAGACAGGGUGAGACAUUGUAUGAGGGACAGACAGGGUGAGACAUUGUAUGAGGGACAGACAGGGUGAGACAUUGUAUGAGGGACAGACAGGAUGAGACGUUGUAUGAGGGACAGACAGGAUGAGGCAGCCGUGCAAGGGACUGGAAGCAGCGAGCUGGGAAUGCAGAAAGAAGGUAGAAGGGGAGAAAGAGCCAGAGCUGUGUGGAGUGACUCGUGGGACUGCAACAUAGCAAAGGUGCACAGCUUGCUGCAUACACUUGGAUUUCUACUUUUCUCUUUGGAGCUUGAGGUUUUGCCUUGAGCUGUCACUUUAUUAAAGUCUUGCAGAGUGUCUCUAUACGUGUCAGACUGGCCACAGGAUGGGGUUUAUUCCUGUAAGUGAUUUCCUGGAAGAAGAUUUGGCCACCAAGAACCUUUGUAUGUAUAAGUUUGAACCACGCAAUCUGAUGACUGCUGGCUCCCUGAGGCAUUGCCAUCACUGUUUAAAAUGUGGUGUUGUGCUGGAUGUUCUUCCAUCCCACAGAGAGGGAAGAAAGGGCCAAGCAGUGCCUAGAGAGAAAAUCCUGUUGCAGUCAAAGGGCUUUGUGUGAUCUCUUGAAGAAGAAAGACAUGAAAAAGUUGUUAUGUGCUGGCCCUCACCUAUCAAGGACCGGGCACUGUAGAAAGCUGACUGAGCAAUAAACAGAAGUAUUGCUGUCACCCUGAGCCUCUUGUGGGAUGGAGGAGUACUCUGACAACUUAACUUGGAUUUUCCAUCCCUCAUGGACAAGCCUACUUCCUUUCCUUCCUCUGAUGCAUUGCAAGUGUAAUGUGUCUUGUCCUGCUGCCAAUACCACCACAAUAGAUUGCAGUGCUUCUCUGAAUAGAGAUACUGGUGAGUCAUUUUCAUCUCUGCUGAAAUUAAUUCAUACAUUUUUCCCCCGGUUUGCAUCGAAAUCAGGUAACUUGACUGAUUUAAAGUCUAAACUUGCAAUUGGUAAAUAUAGAAAACCCUUCUAAAGACAGUUUCUUGAAAUUGGUACCAUAAUGGCAAAUGCGGUUGAAGAUGACCUUGAGGUAAUAACUUCAAAAGCUGAUAAUAGGAUUUAUGCUCUGGUAGUAGAAGGUGUUUAAAAAUUAAACAAGCAAAACAUUGUUUCAGUAUUAAAAAACCUCAUAUGUUGUCUUAAUAUGUGCUAUAAUCUAAGCCUGACUGUGCAUAAUAAGCUUGUAAUUCCAUUGAUCCAUUGAUGGGGAGAUAACAAACCCCUGCAAAUGGCAAAUGGAUUGUGUGUGAGAAAUGCGAUAUUGAUGGACCUGCUGGGCACUGUAACUUUUCUGUGUUUGCUGUGUCACCGUCCUGCCUCACCCAGCCCAUUGCCUGGGGAUGCUCUGCCUCGUUCAGUGCCCUCAGCAGGCUGGAAAGAAAACCAGGGAGGCUUUGCAGAUGAUUCCACCAGUCCAGGCUCUGCUUUGCCUGCAUUUGGCAGCCCUCUCAUCCUAUGGGCCGUGCAGACAGCGAUUUGUGAGCAUGCAGAGCUGGAUAAAGGGAUCCCUGGACUGGUUAUCACACAGAAACCACACCAGUUGCUUAUGUUGCUGGCUUUGCAACAUGGUUCUUGAAGUAAUUUUCUCCAUUUUCUCCCUAUGGUCGCAAUAAGAAUUUUCAAGGGGUUGACAUUUUAUGGUCGUACACAUACAGCGUCAUAAGGGAGUGCCAUCGGCUUUUCUUUUUAAUGUAAAGUUAAGCAUGAAUGUUGAACAAAUAUAGGCUAUAGAUAUAAACAUUAAAGGGGAAUGUUACAGUUGAAGUGUUUAAUAUUGUGAAAUUGGU